CGCAGGUCAAGGUAGUGAGAGGUUUUCGAACAGACGUUCUCUGUCCAGUGAAGGGAGAGACGAGCUGCAACAGAAGAGUGUGACGCUGAGAUCAAAUUAUUCCAGGUUGACUACCCGUGGACCAGAGUAUAAUUUUGAAGCUGAAGCGAGAGGAGACUGUCGGUGUGGGAGAGGAGGAAGUCGAAGAGGUUUCUUUGGCCUUCCAUGCGGACGGACUGCUGUUUUUCUUCCGGUCAUUCCUGUGCUGUGGUGUAUCAGCUCGACUGCCAACGUCAUCACCAUCAUCUGCACUAAUGCGCCUGUGACUAUCCUGCUAAUUGUCCAUUGGGACUCGUGAGUACAAUAUGAACGGAACUUGCACGUGCAUUUCUUUUGCUCUGUUUGAGUGAAGCGGCCAUUUGUUUUAGGCCUCAACGUACCCGAGCUCCCACAUCAGGCCUGCAACGUUUUUUUUUUGUCUUUGGGUUAAAAGGAGUGUGUGUGUGUGUGUGUGUGUGUGUGUGUGUGUGUGUGUGUGUGUGUGUGUGUGGAUUUGCACCUGGACAAAUGUCUAUAUUGAUGUGUGUGAUUUUUUUGGUGAACCGAAAUCUGUGUUUUAUCAUUAUUAUGGUUUAAAUGGUAAAAAAUGAUGUUGAAAGAUCUUAAAAUUUAAGGUAAAAAUAGAGUGAAUUAGUCUGUUUAAAAAUUAGAAAGAAAAAGAAAAGGUGUUAAAUCUUUGAAACUCACAGUAAAUAGUGUUCUGGUAUAAAGUAAAGAAAAGUAAAGAUUUUGUUUAUUUUCUGAAUUCAAAGGUAUAAUAGAGGUUCUAAAAGCUUGAAGAAAAAAAAGGGUGUAAUGACUGAAGCAAUUUUUCUGUUUUAAUCACUGUGGCUUAAAAUAUUUUGUUUACAGUCCUCAUUUCAUUGUCUAAAAAAGAUUUAAAGAUUUGCAUAAAUUUAUUUUUUUUCUUUUCACUAAUUGUAUAAAUAAAAUACCUAAUGUAGGAUCAUUGAAUUUAAA